AUGAAGUCUCGCUCAGCGCUGUCCAAUCAGAUCGUGGAGCUACUACCGCAGCGUGAACAGGGGAGGACGCACCUAUUCCAGUUGCACAAUGCUGAGAAAGGACAGGCGAAAAACUGGACCACCAACGGGAAAUUGGCAAUCCGGGGGAGGCUGUCAAUGGGCUGCCAUGGUUCGACAAUACACAAACAGCGGGGGUUGUGGAUACAGGGGCUGCCAGGGCUCAAAGCGAGCGAGCGAUCCGCGUCGGCGUCCAACCAUGGGAGAGAGCUGUCGGGAAGGUGGCCCAGCUGGCAGUGCCCAGGGCUCCCAGGGGCCCGAGAGCGGCCUGACGUGGAGAGUCAAGGGGGGCUGAAGGAUGACAGGGGACAGCUGGAGAAGAGGAAGACUCUAAGGACCAAAGUUGACGGCGAGAGAGCGAUGGAUCAGGAAGAUGAAUACUUGGCCCGGGGAUCAAAGGCAGACUCCAGCCGAUCGCUCUGGCCGCCACAAAGGGGCGUUGGGGGCCGCUGGCAUGGGGCCAGGUGCUGCACAGGGCCACAUAGCGAGGGACAAGCCAUGCAGAUGGGGUCUGCAGACCCUUUGUCCCCUCCCCCCCCCCCCCCCCUCAGCCCUCACCCCUGUGUACGAGAGGUCAGUGGCAAAAGUACAGUGUGUGUGUGUGUGUGUGUGUGUGUGUGUGUGUGUGUGUUUCCAAUCAGAUGAUCCAGAGUCUCCAUGACUCACUUUUGUCUGCACCUGUAUUUUUCUCAUGUUUGCGUUUCUCCCGGUGGGCUUGUUUACUUGUUUCUUUCCUCACCUUAUCGCACACUCUUCUUCUCUGACUG
ensembl:lncRNA